UGGGGUGUAGCUCAGUUGAUAGAGCACUUGCCUAGCAUUCAUGAAUCCCUGGGUUUGAUCCCUAGUACUGCAU
rnacentral:tRNA from 1 species